AGUGAACGCUGGCGGUAGGCCCAACACAUGCAAGUCGAACGGCAGCACAGUAAGAGCUUGCUCUUACGGGUGGCGAGUGGCGGACGGGUGAGGAAUACAUCGGAAUCUACUUUUUCGUGGGGGAUAACGUAGGGAAACUUACGCUAAUACCGCAUACGACCUACGGGUGAAAGCAGGGGAUCUUCGGACCUUGCGCGAUUGAAUGAGCCGAUGUCGGAUUAGCUAGUUGGCGGGGUAAAGGCCCACCAAGGCGACGAUCCGUAGCUGGUCUGAGAGGAUGAGCAGCCACACUGGAACUGAGACACGGUCCAGACUCCUACGGGAGGCAGCAGUGGGGAAUAUUGGACAAUGGGCGCAAGCCUGAUCCAGCCAUACCGCGUGGGUGAAGAAGGCCUUCGGGUUGUAAAGCCCUUUUGUUGGGAAAGAAAAGCAGCAGGUUAAUACCCCGCUGUUCUGACGGUACCCAAAGAAUAAGCACCGGCUAACUUCGUG
rnacentral:rRNA from 1 species